AAUGUAAUGGCUAAGGGUCCUAGAAUUCAGCUUAGAGUUGAUUCAAAGGACAUAGUAAUGUACCACGACACCAAGUACCUCCUCAUGUGACCUGUUCAACAAAGAGACACAGAUACCUGCAGAGACAAUACCCUGCUGCAGCAUCAGCUGUAGGUGCUGUCGGCAAAUAUAUUACAUUCUGAGGCUAUUUCAGAUGCUUAUUUCUUUCUCCAGUGCCUUUGUCCUUGUGAUUAGCAGCUAUGCAUGCUGUCAAAAAAAUGGACUGCUUACUGCUUUAUC